rnacentral:lncRNA from 1 species
UUGGAGAAGAACCAAAGGCCACAUGAUGACAGAUCUUGUGAAUAAAGUGGAUGAAGACAUCCUGAAAUCUUUGUAUAAGAUUGCUGUUUCCUUUGCAGGAGCAGCACUCGCAUUUUUAAUCAUACCUAGGAAAGGAACUCAUGAAAGAAGAUUUUCAGAACUGCACCAGAAACUGGCAAGAAAGAUAGAGAAAAGCGAUUAUACUGACCACACUUCAGAAGCAGAAGUUGGGAUAAAAUUGAAUGGACCAGAAUCGGAAUCAAAGAUAUUUCAUUUGAGUCCCAGUAUAUUUUUUGAAGAGGGGGAACAAUUUAAAAGAAAAGGAAAAUGCUGAGUCCUGGUGCUGUGAAAGUGGAGGAGGAAAAGCUGGAGCAGAACCCUGAGGAGUCCCAGUACCAUAAAGCACUGCACAAAGAACUGCAGCAAUUUGCUCACCUGCCAAGGCAGAACAGCGUCACCCUGGGAUACAUCCAGGGGGGCUCGGGUGGGGGGCUUUCCCUUAAGGAAGGCAUUCAAUGAUACUGCUAUCUUUGAGAUUUUGCAGCCCACUUUCAAGAAUGCAUGUGGCUCCUGCUACAGAUGGGAUAUAGGAGGCCAACAACAAGGAGAGUCUGCAGGAGAUAUGUGAAGAAGUGUCUUCUGUACGCGCCAGAAAGAGAAAGCAAACGAGCAUCAAGCAUCAAGAACCAGUUCCAACUUAGUGUGUUCCUGCAGUGCAAGAAAUGCUUGCCAUGGCAGGUCAAUUACAGUGCCCAGCAGCUGGUGCUCAAGAACCUUGGUCCCAGGAUGAUUCUAUAAUUGGGGCCACGAGGGCAAACAUCAAGCAGUGACUAUUCCCAAGCAGAGAAUUUUGAGGUUUUGGGGACCUCUGUCUUCCUAUGGUCCCAUUUUCAUUCCCUGGGCUGUGUGAGCCCUCAUUUCACC